GCAGGAAAAUAUUAAAAAUAAUGAUAAUUAUAGUAAAUAUUAAAAAUUACAAAAAAAAUCCAGCAGGUGUAGAAGUAUUCAAAUCAGAAAAAAUUUUGAUAGAAAAUUUUUAUACUAUUUACAACAAGAUCAACAUCUCAGAUCGAAAAUUUAGUACUAUGUCAUAACUUUUUGUGAGAUUUUUAUUUUCAACGUUGAUUUUGAGUCAUUUUGAUCAAUAGGUAAAUUUAGUUUCACGCCUU
rnacentral:lncRNA from 1 species